rnacentral:RNase_P_RNA from 1 species
GGAGAGGGACAGGCGAUCGCUGCCCGCCGAAGCAACCCAUAGGGAUGCCAAGGUGGGGGGAGGAAAGUCCGGGCUCCGCAGGGCAGGAUGGUCCCUAACGGGGACCGGGGGUGACCCCAGGGAAAGUGCCACAGAGAGCAGACCACCCACCGUAGCCUUGUGCAAGGUGGGCCAGGGUGAAAGGGUGAGGUAAGAGCUCACCAGUGCCGACGGUGACGUCGGCAGCUCGGUAAACCCCAUCCGGAGCAAGACCGAAUAGGGGAGUGUUUGAGGGCGGCCCGCCCGAGACUCCCGGGUUGGUUGCUUGAGGCCGUCGGCAACGGCGGUCCUAGAGGAAUGGUC